rnacentral:rRNA from 1 species
GAGGAAUAUUGGUCAAUGGGCGAGAGCCUGAACCAGCCAAAUCGCGUGAAGGAAGACUGCCUUAUGGGUUGUAAACUUCUUUUAUACAGGAAUAAAAAAGGGGACGUGUCCCUUAUUGCUGUUAUUGAAUAAUAAGCAAUCGCUUAAUUCGUGGCCACAGCCGCGGGAAUACGGAGGAUGCGAGCGUUAUCCGGAUUUAUUGGGUUUAAAGGGUGCGCAGGCGGGCUUUUAAGUCAGCGGUGAAAUCUCGGGGCUUAACUCCGAAACUGCCGUUGAAACUGGGAGUCUUGAGUAUGGAUGAAGUAGGCGGAAUUCGUUGUGUAGCGGUGACAUGCUUAGAUAUAACGAGGAACUCCGAUUGCGUAGGCAGCUUACUAAGCCAUAACUGACGCUCAAGCACGAAAGCGUGGGGAUCAAACA